rnacentral:rRNA from 1 species
UACGUAGGGCGCAAGCGUUAUCCGGAAUUAUUGGGCGUAAAGAGCUUGUAGGCGGUCUGUCGCGUCUGCUGUGAAAAUCCGGGGCUCAACCCCGGACUUGCAGUGGGUACGGGCAGACUAGAGUGUGGUAGGGGAGACUGGAAUUCCUGGUGUAGCGGUGAAAUGCGCAGAUAUCAGGAGGAACACCGGUGGCGAAGGCGGGUCUCUGGGCCGUAACUGACGCUGAGGAGCGAAAGCGUGGGGAGCGAACAGG